GAUGAACGCUGGCGGCGUGCCUAAUACAUGCAAGUCGAGCGAAUGGAUUAAGAGCUUGCUCUUAUGAAGUUAGCGGCGGACGGGUGAGUAACACGUGGGUAACCUGCCCAUAAGACUGGGAUAACUCCGGGAAACCGGGGCUAAUACCGGAUAACAUUUUGAACCGCAUGGUUCGAAAUUGAAAGGCGGCUUCGGCUGUCACUUAUGGAUGGACCCGCGUCGCAUUAGCUAGUUGGUGAGGUAACGGCUCACCAAGGCAACGAUGCGUAGCCGACCUGGGAGGGUGAUCGGCAACACUGGGACUGGGACACGGCCCAGACUCAUACGGGAGGCAGCAGUAGGGAAUCUUCCGCAAUGGGCGAAAGUCUGACGGAGCAACGCCGCGUGAGUGAUGAAGGCUUUCGGGUCGUAAAACUCUGUUGUUAGAGAAUAACAAGUGCUAGUUGAAUAAGCUGGCACCUUGACGGUACCUAACCAGAAAGCCACGGCUAGCUACGUGCCAGCCGCCGCAGUAA
rnacentral:rRNA from 1 species